UAUGUGAUCGUCUCUCGCAUAUCAAUAAGCGGAGGAAAAGAAACUAACAAGGAUUCCCCUAGUAACGGCGAGUGAAGCGGGAAGAGCUCAAAUUUGAAAUCUUAAAGGGUUUCCCUUUACGAAUUGUAGUUUAAAGAAGUGUUUUCUGUUGAGGUUUUGGUAAAAGUUCUUUGGAAUAGGACAUCAUAGAGGGUGAGAAUCCCGUAUUUGACCUUUACUUUCAACUUUGUGAUACACUUUCAAAGAGUCGGAUUGUUUGGGAAUGCAGUCCAAAAUGGGUGGUAAAUUUCAUCUAAAGCUAAAUAUUGGCGAGAGACCGAUAGCGAACAAGUACCGUGAGGGAAAGAUGAAAAGAACUUUGAAAAGAGAGUUAAACAGUACGUGAAAUUGUCAAAAGGGAAGCGUCUGACACCAGUGUUGUUUUUCUGAAAAUCAAUUAAAGAACUGUUUAUGCUAAGCUGUUUAGACUUUAUCAGCUAUCUGUUUAGUUUUGAGCUUUUCUUUAAUGCACUUUUCAGUUAACAAGUCAACAUCAAUUUCUUUUGCUGUAAAAAAGCUUGAGGAAGGUGGCUUGAGAUUCGUCUUAAGUGUUUAUAGCCUCUUGCCUAUGCAGUCGGAGAGAUUGAGGUCUGCAGCGUAGAUCCUUCGGGGCUAAAUGCAUUUGUGCUAAGUUAUAGCAUUUUAUAGACAACUUGUUGACUAUGAUUUGUCUUGUAGCUUACUCGCUUAUGUUAUUUUACCUACGCUUAGGAUGUUGAACGCGCACAGAGUCUC
rnacentral:rRNA from 1 species